UACGUAGGUGGCGAGCGUUGUCCGGAUUUACUGGGCGUAAAGAGCGCGCAGGCGGUCGUGCAAGUCGCGUGUGAAAGCCCCCGGCUCAACUGGGGAGGGUCACGCGAUACUGAUCGACUCGAAGGCAGGAGAGGGAAGUGGAAUUCCCGGUGUAGUGGUGAAAUGCGUAGAUAUCGGGAGGAACACCAGUGGCGAAGGCGACUUCCUGGCCUGUUCUUGACGCUGAGGCGCGAAAGCUAGGGGAGCAAACGGG
rnacentral:rRNA from 1 species